UACGAAGGGGGCUAGCGUUGUUCGGAAUUACUGGGCGUAAAGGGCUCGUAGGCGGCCAACUAAGUCAGACGUGAAAUCCCUCGGCUUAACCGGGGAACUGCGUCUGAUACUGGAUGGCUUGAGUUCGGGAGAGGGAUGCGGAAUUCCAGGUGUAGCGGUGAAAUGCGUAGAUAUCUGGAGGAACACCGGUGGCGAAGGCGGCAUCCUGGACCGAUAUUGACGCUGAGGCGCGAAAGCCAGGGGAGCAAAGCGGG
rnacentral:rRNA from 1 species